CAGAACAUAGCUUAAACAAAGCAUUUUGCUUACACCAAAAAAAAAUCUAUAAUAGAUUGUUCUG
rnacentral:tRNA from 1 species